rnacentral:rRNA from 1 species
UACGAAGGGGGCUAGCGUUGCUCGGAAUCACUGGGCGUAAAGGGUGCGUAGGCGGGUUAUUAAGUCAGAGGUGAAAUCCUGGAGCUCAACUCCAGAACUGCCCUUGAUACUGGCGAUCUCGAGUCCGGGAGAGGUGAGUGGAACUGCGAGUGUAGAGGUGAAAUUCGUAGAUAUUCGCAAGAACACCAGUGGCGAAGGCGGCUCACUGGCCCGGUACUGACGCUGAGGUGCGAAAGCGUGGGGAGCAAACAGG